GUUACCUUCGGGUAAUGAGGAUGGCGGACGGGUGAGUAACGCGUAAGGAACUUGCCUCUUGGACUGGGACAACUGUUGGAAACGACAGCUAAUACCGGAUAUUAUGAGAUUCUCGCAUGAGAAACUUAUGAAAGCUAUAUGCGCCAAGAGAGAGCCUUGCGUUCCAUUAGCUAGUUGGUGGGGUAACGGCCCACCAAGGCGACGAUGGAUAGCCGGCCUGAGAGGGUGAACGGCCACAAGGGGACUGAGACACGGCCCUUACUCCUACGGGAGGCAGCAGUGGGGAAUAUUGGACAAUGGGCCACAAGCCUGAUCCAGCAAUUCUGUGUGCACGAUGAAGGUCUUCGGAUUGUAAAGUGCUUUCAGUUGGGAAGAAGAAAGUGACGGUACCAACAGAAGAAGCGACGGCUAAAUACGUGCCAGCAGCCGCGGUAAUACGUAUGUCGCAAGCGUUAUCCGGAUUUAUUGGGCGUAAAGCGCGUCUAGGCGGAAAAAUAAGUCUGAUGUUAAAAUGCGGGGCUCAACUCCGUAUUGCGUUGGAAACUGUUUUUCUAGAGUACUGGAGAGGUGGGCGGAACUACAAGUGUAGAGGUGAAAUUCGUAGAUAUUUGUAGGAAUGCCGAUGGAGAAGUCAGCUCACUGGACAGAUACUGACGCUGA
rnacentral:rRNA from 1 species